CAAUCCGCGGCUCCGCUCUGUUCCGCAGCACCGCCGCGCCGUGCGGUUGCCAGGGUUCCGUCAGGCGCUCGACCAAUGGGAGACGAGGGAUGGGAGAUUGCCAUGGGAACCACAGAGCGGCUGACCAUUCGCAGCGCGGCUUCUUGGAGGAGCCUUUCCAGCCCAGCCAAUAAGGAGAGGCGGAGCUAGGUCGCGGCGGGGGUUUCGGGUUUGUGGGUGCUGAGGAGGAUGUUAUGGCUGCGCUCAGGUUCCCGUCAGGCCCGGCGGGAAUGCACCCGCAGCCAGCAGCUCCAUCAGAAGGGAGGCCGGGAUACACAGCACAAGCACAAGCAACAGGAAUAUUUUGUCUGCGAAUAAUCAAGAUUAAGAAAUCUGAUGAGGCAAGAAAACAAACAGAUCUACUCCUGGAUGUCCCAGUUCACACGCUGUUAUUUCUUUCCGAAACCAUUUCCAUCCCUGAGAACAAACAGAGCAAGACUUGGAAAGUGUGUGACUCUCCACAUAUUAUACAAGAUCUGUACUGAACAAUGGAUGGGUUGCAAACUUGGUCAUUCAGCAUGCAAACCAGCUUCACAGCACCAGACUUUUAUUUUUAUCACAGCCUAAGCUGAAUGAGGCUUUGGCAACCUGUUAAAUGAGACCAGUUUCCACUCCUGACCAUGCUGACAGCAGUGAGGACAGCUCCCUAUUACCUCUGCUUGAGAUCUCCAGACUUGUUGCUUCAGCUGCUUCUCUUCCUCUGUUAGCUUUUGCAACAAUUUGUACAGGUGGACCAGCUUUGUGUGCUGCUCAGAGGACCCCGCCUGGAAGCAGAUAAGCUAGUGAAAGGCAGUAUUGUUGUCUGGGUGCAUGGGACCAAGUACUUUGCAAACAUAAACUGGCACCAUUCUGCUAAGUCAAUAUAAGGACGGCACUUUACACCACAGAAACAUCCAACCCAUUGUCAAUAGUUGACGAAUUCACCUAGACUUUGAGUCCAUCAGUAAUGCCAGCCAGAUUGCAUGUCCUACAUCUACACCUGUUUAGUAUCACUGCACAAUCUACAGGCAGACUUCUGCCUCUGACUGCAAACUCACAUCACAGAUGUUAGUGGAGUGACCCCUCCAUGAAUGAGAGAAUUUGGCGUAAUGACAGUAGUCUCCUUUUUUUGGGAUAUCUUUUAUUUAAGGCUAUCUGUCUACCUAUCUAUCAGCAAUAAAUAAACCCUCAGUAUCUUGUCUGAAUUUGCAGAGUAAGCUGGGGGUGAUUUAAACGACAGCGUGACCCAAGCUUUGUGAUCCGUGGUAGAAUUUGAGUUAAAAUUUGCUCCUGCUUCUCUGCCAUGGUCUCUUUAAGAGGUAACAGAAAAGGAAAUUUCAGCUUCUCUGCCAUGAAUCUGCAGGACUGAGAGGAACAGCUGCUGAAUCAGCAUCUUGCAAGAUCUCAGUGGCCGUAUACAAUACCUGAUGAGCAGAUGGAGGAGAGGCUGAGCAUGAAUAUGCCAUACCCUGCCACGCUUCCACAGACAUUGCACCCACGCUUUGUGUCCCCAUGACCCAGACAAACUCCUCGAUCUAGGUAGAUUUUCUCCAUACCUGGUA